rnacentral:lncRNA from 1 species
AGCGGGAUCGAUCUGGGCCUCCAGGGCCGCGGGAGGUGGGAGAAGGGGCUAUGGCUAGCGACGGGUGAGGCUGGAGGGUGAGGGGAUCGAGGUGAAUGAGGCUUAGAGCGUGUUUGGAUACUCUCUAGUCAUGUGACUAGUAGUAGUCAGACUAAAAGUUUUUAGUCAGGCCUUGUUUGGAAGGUGACUACUACUAGUCAGCAUUAAAUGUCUCAGUAUUAAAUUUUUCUCUCUCCCUUCCAUUUAUCUCUCUUCUCUCCCUUGUGCAACAGCAACUCCCGCGCAAGGAAGGAAAGCAGCUUCCUUUUCUCCCUCACGUCAUGCAACAGCAGCUCUCAAUACCCUUUU